CGAGAGAGGUCCGAGGAGCGCGUUCUGAAGAAGAGGGCUCAGAUCCGCGAUGCUGCGGUGCGGCGAGAGCAGCGGCGGCGCCGGCGGCGGCACCAGGAACGGGCAGUGCAGCUCCUCCAGCUUCCCGCUGACCAUGCGGAAUCGCCCGUGGUUCUCGGGAAGACGGACGCCAGGAACUUCCGCUCGGCCUUCAGCCCAGACACGGCCAUCUUCCCUCAUCUCUGGCGGGAGGGGAGCAGGGCCCAGCCCCGUCAAGGUCAAGGUCUAACAAGCGCCAGUGUGAUGCUGGAUCUGCGAUUUCAUGGAGCCAUUCUUUGUGUAGCUGUGAGUCUAGGGCACAGUGUGUCGUUUUUAAAUUGUAAUUUAAAAACAA